rnacentral:sRNA from 1 species
CCAGCCCUGCGUGAGCACUGAGUGCCCGCCCCCUCCUCCUUGCAGGUCUGGCCGUGGGUCUGGGCUUCGGGGCACUGGCAGAGGUCGCCAAGAAGAGCCUGCGCUCCGAGGACCCCUCAGGGAAGAAGUCCGUGCUGGAUUCCAGUCCUUUCCUGUCCGAGGCCAAUGCAGAGCGGAUUGUGCGCACGCUCUGCAAGGUGCGUGGUGCGGCGCUCAAGCUGGGCCAGAUGCUGAGCAUCCAGGAUGACGCCUUUAUCAACCCCCACCUGGCUAAGAUCUUCGAGCGGGUGCGGCAGAGCGCCGACUUCAUGCCGCUGAAGCAGAUGAUGAAAACUCUCAACAACGACCUGGGCCCCAACUGGCGGGACAAGUUGGAAUACUUCGAGGAGCGGCCCUUCGCCGCUGCAUCCAUUGGGCAGGUGCACUUGGCCCGAAUGAAGGGCGGCCGCGAGGUGGCCAUGAAGAUCCAGUACCCUGGCGUGGCCCAGAGCAUCAACAGUGAUGUCAACAACCUCAUGGCCGUGCUGAACAUGAGCAACAUGCUUCCAGAAGGCCUAUUCCCCGAGCACCUGAUCGACGUGCUGAGGCGGGAGCUGGCCCUGGAGUGUGACUACCAGCGGGAGGCCGCCUGCGCCCGCAAGUUCAGGGACCUGCUGAAGGGCCACCCCUUCUUCUACGUGCCUGAGAUUGUGGAUGAGCUCUGCAGCCCACAUGUGCUGACCACAGAGCUGGUGUCCGGCUUCCCCCUGGACCAGGCCGAAGGGCUCAGCCAGGAGAUUCGGAAUGAGAUCUGCUACAACAUCCUGGUUCUGUGCCUGAGGGAGCUGUUCGAGUUCCACUUCAUGCAAACAGACCCCAACUGGUCCAACUUCUUCUAUGACCCCCAGCAGCACAAGGUGGCUCUUUUGGAUUUUGGGGCAACGCGGGAAUAUGACAGAUCCUUCACCGACCUCUACAUUCAGAUCAUCAGGGCUGCUGCUGACAGGGACAGGGAGACUGUGCGGGCGAAAUCCAUAGAGAUGAAGUUCCUCACUGGCUACGAGGUCAAGGUCAUGGAAGACGCCCACUUGGAUGCCAUCCUCAUCCUGGGGGAGGCCUUCGCCUCCGAUGAGCCCUUUGAUUUUGGCACCCAGAGCACCACCGAGAAGAUCCACAACCUGAUUCCCGUCAUGCUGAGGCACCGUCUCGUCCCCCCACCCGAGGAGACCUACUCCCUGCACAGGAAGAUGGGGGGCUCCUUCCUCAUCUGCUCCAAGCUGAAGGCCCGCUUCCCCUGCAAGGCCAUGUUCGAGGAGGCCUACAGCAACUACCGCAAGAGGCAGGCCCAGCAGUAGGGCUGUGGGCCACGCCCAGGCCGGCUCCGCGGGAACUCUCUCCCUCAGACAGGCCAAAAACCAGUAGGGAGGUGGUGGUGAUGCUCUUUUUAACUCCUUUGCCCAAUAAGGGGGGGUGGCUGCCUGGAGCCCCGUAGCCAGCGCUUUCCACGGUUUCUGUUGCUAAAUGGUUGUAGGGUGAGAAGUGCAGGAAUGAAGAUGAAGCCCCACUGCUCGGUCAGUCUGCCUCCGUGUGUCCUCUGAAAUAAGUAGAUGAAGAUGAAAGGGCAACUUUGUUUUCUUCUUUUUCCUGACGUGAAUGUUGAGCAGAAGGGAGAGAGUCCUUACUCCCUUCCAAUCUCUGUUCCAGUGCAAAACCCAGAAACAUGAACACAGAUACGAUUGUGGGAUUUUGUCAUCUGUGUAGUAGGUGUGUGUAUGUGUUUCUAGAGUUAGAUUUGUGUUUUUUGCCCUUUUCCUCUCCAUCCGAUGGGCUGGAGCUGGGAGAGGUGCUGAUCUAACAGUGCCAACAAGUGCUCCUUAAGCCUGCGAGGCCCAGGCCUGUGGGGCUGGCUCUCACCUUUGACAGCUGAAUGUUUCUAAAGAACUGCUGCCCUACAGUAAGGGUGGGAGCAGCAGAACAGGGAAUGCCAGACACAGGCUCGCUGCUGCUGGAAGGCAGGGUGGGACUUCCUUCCUCUGUCCGGAGAGGCACAGGUGUCACCAGUUCCAGCCAAAGGCUCCUCACAGGCUCUGUGAAUUUUUGUACAAGUCUUGUAAUUAUCGAAUCAACUUGUUUCAAUUUAAUAAAAAUGCUCAUGGGAAGUGC